rnacentral:lncRNA from 1 species
CUCUCUUCCAUCUUUGCUUUCUCUCUCGAUCCCUUUUUCUCUCCAUUCUCUCCCACUUUAUCUCUCUCAAUCUCUCAUAUUUUUCUAUGUAAUUUUUUUUCACUUCUUUCUCUCCAGACUCCAAUGACAUGCUUUCUCAAAUGGAGCUUCAACCUAUUUGAAUUUUUUCCUCAAGAAAGUCAUUUUUUUCUCUGAAAUUGCUUGGUCCCCAUAAUCGUAAAUCUCAUUAGCAUAACUAGAGGAUGUUUGCAUGAAUUGAAUCCACCUGAAAGAGAGGUAAGAUGAUUCUGCGAAUUUCUCUGUGUGUUGGUGGUUUUUCUGAGUUAAUUUUUUUGUUUUGUUUAAGUUUUUAUGAUUUUUUUUUUUUGUUUUUAAUGCUGCAAAACAUGAUUCUUCUUAUCCUCAUUCUAAGUGACAUGAGUUUUAUUGUUCACUUUGCAAAGGAAAUAAAUUCUUUGGAAAGACCUUCCCUAAACUUUCCUUUGAAAUUUUCCCAGACAAGAAGAGGCAGUUUGGAUUCGGCAAUUAAAAAUUACAAAUUUUUGGUUCAAAUUUUCAAGUUAAUAUCAAUAGAAAGUUUUAAUUUUCAAGAAAUUUGUUUGCCUGGUCUGUUGGGAAUGAAUUCCAUCACUUGAGAGCAAAUGUUUGAUUCCUUAUUAUUUUUGAGAUAAAAUGCAUCGUAGGUGUUUGAUAAAAUGUCCAUGCAUAAAAUUUGGUGUUUAGAACUGUUAAGGAUUUGUAGUAAGUGUUAUACACUUUGUGUUUUAUUUUGUUUUCCUAUACUAUUUUUUUGAUUACUGAUAAAAAUUAUAUUGAUAAUUUAGGAUGAAGAUGAUUCAUUGCACUUUGUGGGAUGAUUUUGCAGUUAGAUGCAUCGAUUUAUGGAGAGCCACAAAUCAUCUGAACCAGUUGUCGUGAUACUUUGGUUAGUAAUUAUUUUUAUUGAAAUAUCUGCUUAUAUCUAUUACGAAUAAAAUGCAACAAUCUAAACCCUAAUCUCAUAUAUACAAGGGCGGGAAACAAUUAAUUAAUACAUCUGCCAACUAACUCAUACUACCUAUGUAGAAAACGGUUUACAAUGCUGCCAUAACUAAUCAAUUUGGUGGAUGUAUUUAUUGAAUUUUGCCACUUACCAAUGCCUAAUUAAUAGUGUUUGUUUGUUUCUUUUUUUUGGUUGAUAGACAAAAUGGCAAAGCCAUUGAAAACUCACACACACAAAGUGGAGUGACCGGGGUUCGAACCCCGGUCCCGACGUCCGACACUAGCAAUUUCGGCAUUUCUGCCAGUUGAGCUAGGAUUUGUGGACAGUGUUUGUUUGUUUCUAUUUCCUAAAAAUAUGGUAUUUCUCUUUCAUUAUGAUGCAUUGAUGCGUGUAUCUCUUGAAUUACCCUCUCCUAUUUUGAAAACUAAUCAUCUCAUUUCUUUCUCCUUUCUUUCGCAUCUUAUUUUCUUUGUGCAAAUCCUUUUCUAUUCAUGUGUACAAUUCAUUGCCACCAGUUCAACAAGGACAAGAGGUCCGAAAAUCUUCAUAUUUUUUUCACAAUAGCUUAUGUUGCCGUGGUAUUAGUUAUUGUUAUAAUAUUUCAUUAUAAUAAUAAUAAUUUAUUUUAAAGUAAUAUUAAUUUGCUGGCAACGGUUAUAAUUGCUUAAUUAUUGGAACGGUUNNNNNNNNNNNNNNNNNNNNNNNNNNNNNNNNNNNNNNNNNNNNNNNNNNNNNNNNNNNNNNNNNNNNNNNNNNNNNNNNNNNNNNNNNNNNNNNNNNNNNNNNNNNNNNNNNNNNNNNNNNNNNNNNNNNNNNNNNNNNNNNNNNNNNNNNNNNNNNNNNNNNNNNNNNNNNNNNNNNNNNNNNNNNNNNNNNNNNNNNNNNNNNNNNNNNNNNNNNNNNNNNNNNNNNNNNNNNNNNNNNNNNNNNNNNNNNNNNNNNNNNNNNNNNNNNNNNNNNNNNNNNNNNNNNNNNNNNNNNNNNNNNNNNGUUGUCGCCGUCUUCGCCGUCAUUGCUGCCUCGACUCUAUUUCAUUCUUCACCGGUAUUGUCUCUUGCCAUUUUCAUUUUUCUUCCCCUUUUAAUUUCCUCUUUCAUUUCCUUAGAUAUUUUCUGCUCUAAAACCCCAUAAAUGUUUCAUUCUCAUAUUUCUUCUUUCUCCUCUCUUUUGACAUGCCUGGCAACGACAAUGAAUUAACGAAGCGCACACAACGGCAUCGACUUCCUCCAGCGCAGAGGUAAGGGUUCAGAUUCACAUCCAUUCAAUUUUGGUUCUUUCAAUUUAUUGGGUGAUUGUUCUUCUAGCUUUUACUCACAUAAUUUUUUUGGUAUGUAAAAUUAUAGAUUUCUCCUCAUUCUGAUAUGUAAUAGUAUUAGUUUUGCCCUGAGAUUGAGUUUUUGACUUUAUCAAUGAACCAACACUUUAGUUUUGAUUAUUUUGUUACAAAUUCAUUUAUUCUUAAUGGAUGUUAGAUUUUACAUGUGUUUGUUUAAUUUUCUUUUAUAGCUGUAUCAUGUUUUGCCUUUUUUUCUUCUUCUCUGUAUUUUGGGAGUAAAUUGCAUUUUGGGUUGGUAGAGAUUUGAAAUCAUUAUGCAUAGAAUGAAAUUAGUUAUGCUUUGAACAUUGUUUGGGUUGGGCUGAUAUUUAUCACAAUAUCUUUCGGAUUAGGUAACAUAGUGUUUCUAAUCCCAUGUUUACAAUUGUUGGUGGUAUGUCCAAUGUAAUUCUAUUUAACAUGAAUUGCUAUGGAUACUAUAUGUUUCAUUUAUUCAAGACUAAUCCCAUGUUAGUUUCUUUAUAUUAGUUAAUGUGUUGACUGUUGUUUAUUGACAUUUGACUCAUUAUGCCGGGAAUCUCAACAUAGUUUCAAUAGUUCAAAAAGUAGCAGAAUUAGCUUUACUGAUCUUGCUGAACAGGAAUAGAUCAGUUGUUGGGGCAACAUAGAAUGUCUAAGGGAUGCUCUAGCUAAGUUGUAAGUUGAAAUUAAUAUAUGAUAUGAUGGUUGAAAUUAAUAUCUUGAUCUUAUUUUACUUCUUCAUUCUUUCUAACCACUGUUUCAUUUCAUCGAUGCAGACACUUAUGCUCUUACUAAAUAAUCUUUCCAGGAAAAUAGAAGUUCCAAUCACAUACUUUAAAUUCUAUAAAUGUGAGUAUGAUAAUGAUUUAAGACCGAGUUAGUAUGUGGCUUCUUAGUGAUUCAGAUUUUUGACGCUUUCAACUCAUAUAGUUUAUAUUUCUUGGUGAAGCACAUGCUAUGUAAUAUAUGAUUCAAAUUUUGUAAGUAUAUGAAUAAUACAUGUCAGAGUAGUGUUUGUUUGUACUUUUCACAUUUUUUUUUGGUAUGGCCUCCAAACUCAAUCAAACACAAGAAUAUCCACAUCUAAUAAAAAAUGAAAGUUUUAUUUUGACACCAUAACAAAUUAGUUUGGAAUUUUUAUUGUUAUUACGAGUUCAGAUAACAAAAUAUAUCAUAUUAUAAAUUAGACAAGUUAGUAAAGUAUGAACUAUUUUUUUUGGACUAAAUGGACAGGCAUGAGUUAGGAUCCUCUCCAUUUCCAAUUUUUUCCAUUUCCUCCAUUAUUAUGUAGUUUUGGGAAUAUAAAUGCAAAAAUGUGACAUUAAGUGGGUUCAAAUAUCAUUUAUACACCCCAAAAUAUUUAAAAACUUUGGUAAUGGAAGAAAUGGAAAAUAUGAGAAAUGGAGAGGAUCCCAACUCGCCAGGCAUGAUGAUUUGUUUAAUUCAUGUAUUCUUUCCUUUUUGUGUUUACUAACAGCCAACAGGUGUGACGACUAAUUGAAUUUAUUCAAUGUUUAUUAUGAAUUAUUUACUAUUUUUAUAUGAAAACAAUAAUUCAAUAUAUUUUGUCAUGUUAUACAAUUAAAUUUAAUAUAGUGGGGUGAUUUGGCAGUAUAAACGAUUAAUAUUAAAUAAUAUAGUAAAAUUAUUUUACACUGUCGUUGUAAAUUCUAUUUGCUCUAACAAAUUCACAAUUUAUUGAUGUUACAUAUAUGACCCGUGCGAACGCACGGGCAAAAUGUCUAGUGAUAGUUAGUACUAUAAUACUCCCUAAUCCUCUAAUUAAUUUCCCUCCAAACAACCUAUUAAUUAAUUAAAAUUAAAUUUUUUUUAAAAAAAAACGAGGUUGCAUAGAAAAAAACGCCCCACCCAUGCCUUAAUUGUAGUUCAUUGAGCCACUCAAUAUAAGGUAUAUGGAGCCACAUAAAAGCAUUUAAACAUGUGUUCCCUAUAUAUGCUAUUUACAAGGCCUGAUUGAAUUUUUCUAAUAAAUAGCAUUUAUUGUUUGUAUUUCUUAAAAAUUGGUCACUUUCUCUCUCAGUUUUCUCUCUCUCCCUCUCUCAUAUCGCUCACUCUCUCUCCCUCUCUCAUGUAAUUCUCUGUAUACAAAUUUCUCCUGUCUCUCCGAUAUAUGCCUUCUCAUUCCUGCAUUUUAUUUCAUUCUAGCAAGCUUCACCUUUACAUUUUGCUUUGUGAUUGUCCUCUGCAGGUUUGAAUGGAGCGCACUAGGAGGAGUUUGGUGGUGGUUGAGGGGAUUCUGAGAUGAAUUCAUUGAAGGAGUCAUCGAUCAGUAAGGUAUUUAUAGUUACAAUAAUAUUUUACGGGUACAACACCUCCAUGACUGUGUUUUGCCAAUUUUAGACUUUAAUCCGUUGCUUCUAUUCCAGGAUUUAGAAGAAUGGAACCUGAAUGGCCAUGAAAGUAAGUUUUAAAUUUUAUCUACCUUUUUGUUUCUUUAUUUUCAUGAAAUCAACAUUUAUACACUUUUGUGUCUUGCUAUUAUUGAAAUUCCUUUUGAAUCUGGUCCAAGAAGCAAGCACCUAUAGAAGGAAGUGAUCAUAGAUUUAGGUGGAGAUUAUUUGAUAAGACAGAAAGAAACUGCAAGUGCGAGAAGAAGAGUUUGACAUAUUCAGUUUGCUUAAUGUAAGUUUUAAAUUGGGGUUUUUAAACUUAGUGUUCUUUCUUCUCCAGUUGCUGAAUCUAACAACGUUGAGAUUCUUUUGCAGGGCUCAUUGGCAAAUUAAGGUAUUUUUUAUUGUACUUUUAAUUUUUGAUUAGUUUGCUAUUUCUUUUUUUAUUGCUUUUAUGAUUCUUAACUUUAAUAUGAUAUCAUGCUAUUUCUAUUCUUGCUUAAUAAUUCUAAGUCUCAGUAUACUCUUACAUAUAUCUUGACCUAUUUUAUUGUUAACAUUUUAAAUUUGUUUAUCAAAUUGAAGUUUUUGUAAUUACAGAAAUAUGGACUACUCAAAUUCAACUUAAUCAAUGAGUUAAUUUCAUUAAAAAAAAAUUACCAUUAGUGACAAUAGUUGUAUAUUUGUGAACCAUCUAUGAUAUUUGCAUCAUGUUAUACAGUUUUUAUGAUCUCUUAUCCACUUUAAUGAUUUGUACCUUUUGGAAUGAUCUAGGACAUAUUGCUCUGUUAUUGGCAUUUGGAAGUACUUAUGUAGUUUUAUGGCAUUUGGAAUGUUUUUAUGGUCUUCUAUUGGAUUCAUAUUAUGUAGUUUUAAGUAUGCUUUUCAUAAGUUUAAUAAAAUACUGACAUAACUUGAAACUGAUAUGCUUCACGAGGCUAUCAAAGAAACGAAUUACUCAUUUUUCAUGUCCUAUGUAUAAGCAAUCGGUUUCUCUAUAAAAUUUAAAUUGAUGUCCUUGGCUAAUUGAUAUUUUAUUCUUUAGCUUCAUUUUGGAAAUGGUAAUUGAUGUACUUGGCUAAAUUGAUGUGCAAAUUUUUGAAAGAAAAUAUUGUUGAAAAAUGAAUAUGCAAAUUUUUUAGCAUAGUUUAUUUGAUCUUUAUAUGCUGCAGAGCCUCUCUUGCAGAAAGUUGAAGCAACAUAUCAUUUUCACUUGAAGUUUCAGCUUAAUUGGCUCUUCAUUCUUUCUAACCACUGUUUCUUAAUUGUUGUGUUAUAUGGUAGCAAUGUUACUUGCAAGAUAACAAUUGUGGAAGAAGGCAGUAUCAAUCCUAUCUUGAAGUUUCAGCCUUGGAAUAAAUUUUUUUAAUUUAUUUUCUCAAUGUAUGAUGUAAUGUUAGAGAAUGAUAUGGUUGUUUUGGUAACAUACAAUAGCUCUUAACUUUCUUGGCAAUGACAUCUUAAAGAAGGAAAUGUAGUGAAUAACAUUUGUGUUAGAAUUCAUAUUGAUUAAUAUUUCUAUUGUUCUUUGUGCAAAAUAUAAUUCAAAGAUAUAAAAAUUAAUUAGAAAUACA